rnacentral:rRNA from 1 species
UACGAAGGGGGCUAGCGUUGUUCGGAUUUACUGGGCGUAAAGGGUGCGUAGGCGGGCGGCUAAGUCAGGGGUGAAAUCCCAAGGCUCAACCUUGGAACUGCCUUUGAUACUGGUUGUCUUGAGUCCGGGAGAGGUGAGUGGAACUGCGAGUGUAGAGGUGAAAUUCGUAGAUAUUCGCAAGAACACCAGUGGCGAAGGCGGCUCACUGGCCCGGAACUGACGCUGAGGCGCGAAAGCGUGGGGAGCAAACAGG